AAACCACGCCAUUGCACUCCAGCCUGGGCAACAAGAGCGAAACUCCUUCAAAAAAAAAAAAAAUUGUAAAUUGGUAGUGGAGAAACCUGGCAGAGAACCCCUCAACUGAGUGAUCCAACGCAGCAUCAGUGUAAUUAGAGUGACAUUACUGUACUCUCUCCAAUACGAUGGACUCUGAGAAGAGCAUAAUAUCACAUCUGGUAUUCUCAUAAAAUAUGCAUAACCUCAAUCCCAUUAUGAGGAAUCUUUAGACAAAACCAAAUCAGGGGAUGUUCAACAAAAGAGAUGGCCAGUACACUUCAAAAGCUUUAAUGUUAUGGGAGAGAAAGGCUGAGAAUGAUCACAUCAGAGGAGACUAAGGAGAUACAAUGGCUGAAUGCAGUGUGGGCUCCUGGAUGGAAUCCUGCAUCAGAAAAGGACACAAGUGUGAAAAUUGAUGAAAUUCAAAUUCAGGAAAGGUGAACUCACAGGAAAAGGAGACUAAAGUUCUGAUAGAGGAACUUUUACCAUAGGCUACCAGCCAUUCUUUCCAGGGAUGAUGUGUGCAAGACUCAUCUGCAUAACAAGACAGCCUUUGCUCACCCAUGCCUUUCCUCCUGGCGGCCCCCGUGACGUGUCACCACCUCCCACCUGGAGCUCCAGGCAUCUAGUCCUCUCUGUAGGGUAUAAAAACUGCAGUCAUCUGGCCCUUCUUUGAGUCUCAUAUUUGUGUGGCUCCCUGUGCAUGUGCACAGAAUAAAUGUGUGUGCCUUUGUCCUGUUAGCCCUCUAUUGAGAGUUCGUUUUGUAGACUCAAAUGAGCAAACCUUCAAAAAUGGGGAAAGGAAAUUCCCUUUGCUCCUACACCCUUCUCUUGGUUUCAAGAGAGCCAUGAAUAGCUUCACCAGGGAACUGUCAGUUCUCUUAGGAAACCACCCAGAUUCCAGCUACAACCUUGUAGGAUCAGAGUAAACCAGCCUUCAGAAGAAUGCAUGCCUCGGCCGGGCGCGGUGGCUCAUGUCUGCAAUCCUAGCACUUUAGGAGGCCGAGGAGGCGGAUCACCUGAGGUCAGGAGAUCAAGACCAGCCUGGCCAACAUGGCAAAACCCUGUCUCUACUAAAAAUACAAAAAAUUUAGCCAAUACAAAAAAAAUUAGCCGAG
rnacentral:lncRNA from 1 species